rnacentral:rRNA from 1 species
GGCCAGACUCCUACGGGAGGCAGCAGUGGGGGAUAUUGCACAAUGGGGGGAACCCUGAUGCAGCAACGCCGCGUGGGUGAAGGAGCGUUUCGGCGCGUAAAGCCCUGUCAGCGGGGAAGAAGAAAGACGGUACCCGACCAAGAAGCCCCGGCUAACUACGUGCCAGCAGCCGCGGUAAUACGUAGGGGGCGAGCGUUAUCCGGAAUUACUGGGUGUAAAGGGAGCGUAGACGGCAGGGCAAGUCUGGAGUGAAAGGCAGGGGCCCAACCCCUGGACUGCUCUGGAAACUGUCCGGCUGGAGUGCAGGAGAGGUAAGUGGAAUUCCUAGUGUAGCGGUGAAAUGCGUAGAUAUUAGGAGGAACACCAGUGGCGAAGGCGGCUUACUGGACUGUAACUGACGUUGAGGCUCGAAAGCGUGGGGAGCAAACAGGAUUAGAUACCCGGGUAA